rnacentral:rRNA from 1 species
UGCCAGCAGCCGCGGUAAUACGGAAGGUGCACGCGUUGUUCGGAAUUACUGGGCGUAAAGCGCGUGUAGGUUGUGAUGUAAGUCGGGUGUGAAAUCCCUGGGCUCAACCCAGGAACUGCGCCCGAAACUACAUCGCUAGAGUACGGGAGAGGGGAGCGGAAUUCCUGGUGUAGAGGUGAAAUUCGUAGAGAUCAGGAGGAACACCUGUGGCGAAGGCGGCUCUCUGGACCGAUACUGACACGGAGACGCGAAAGCGUGGGGAGCAAACAGGAUUAGAUA